rnacentral:tRNA from 1 species
GAUGAUAUAGCUCAGUGGUAGAGCAUAUGCUUAACAUGCACAAGGUCCUAGGUUCAAUCCUCAGUAUUUCCA